AUCUGGGGCAGCCCCCACCCUGGGGGCUUACACUGUGCUGCGUGGGAGGCUCUGUGUGGCAGCAACGGCUACUGCGGGCUCCUUGAAGAGCACCCCAUAGUGGCGGAGAUCACUCUGGCCCUCCAUCUUCCAAUUUCUUGGGAUGGGCCCCCUGACCUGGCACACAGGGCGGCAGGAGAGCUCAGGCCCUACCAUGCUCUGUGGUUUCUGCUCCACCCAGAGGACACAUCCAGCCUGCACCAGACUGAACUAGCCUACACCAGACUGAACUAGCCUGCAGUCCAUGGCCCUUCCCUGCCCUCAGCCAUCUGCUCCUGCAUAAGCUCCCCCAUCCCCACCCAGGGCACUUGGGACACUGCAGAAUGCUGCUCCUUCAGCUGUACUCCCUCAUCUCUGUCAGGGUGCCCCCAGCCCGAAUGGCCCUGGGCUUACAGGGACCACCCUGUUGCUGUCCUGCACAGCAGGGGGCUCCAGCCUUGAGAGAUCCUCUGUAUUGCAACGGAUGAAGAUGAGCCCUGGGCGGCCUUUGUCAACGGAUGAAGAUGAGCCCUGGGCGGCCUUUGUCAACGGAUGAAGAUGAGCCCUGGGCGGCCUUUGUCAAUGGAUGAAGAUGAGCCCUGGGCGGCCGUUGUGGAGACGGUCAUCACUGUGACUGUUUUUGCGCUGGUUGUUGUGGUUGUUGGCACCUGUAUUCAUCCCCUCACCCGUUCCUGGAUGAACAGCCCAGAAGUGGAUUUGGAUUUUUGAUUUGAAACGCCAAAUGGGCGAAUAAAAUAUAACUCUCACCCACUCACGUUGUCUCUCAGAAUAAAUUGUAACAUGCAAGUUUCAAUUAAGUUUCUUGUGACCUCAUGUUGACUAAAUAUAAGGGUUUUCUUUUCCCAACGUUAGCGGGUCAUAUGUAGUCAGUCUUUGUCCUUCAGAUGGUUGUGUGCACUUUAUUGGAGGGAUUUCUAUUUUGUUGACUGUGUUGCAAUGCCCCUCCCACCCCCACCUACUCCAGCAGCCUGUAGAGCAGACAGGAGUCUGCACGGAGUCCUUUUUGCCCUGGAUUUCUUGUGCUCUUGAUCUGGUGUUCCUCUUAAUACCUCAUCUCCUUCCUUUUCAACUUAAUUAAUCCUCCAUCUCUUGCCUCAUAGUCCCUGUGUCCUUCCUCUUAUUCCUGUGGGGUCACAUGGUGAAAGCCUAGCUGUUACCAUGGCUCCAAGCUGUGCUUUCUCUCUGGUGCCCUUUUGGUGCCUCAUUCUAAGUCUGGACUCUACAAUGAUAUCAGAC
ensembl:lncRNA